GCGCCUCUGCGAUAUGCGUGAGCUUGUCGUUAAUUCCCUUGAGCCUAUUUAUACCCCCGGGAUUGCUUGUUAAAAGGUCGUGUGCAUACCUGCGUCAGCGGGGAGCCUUACAUCUCUUACGGUGAACCCACUUGAACCUUUUGGUUCAAGGUCAACGGCUACCACGGUACUCACGGAGCGCG
rnacentral:other from 1 species